UACGGGGGGGGGCAAGCGUUGUUCGGAAUUACUGGGCGUAAAGGGCUCGUAGGCGGCCAACUAAGUCAUACGUGAAAUCCCUCGGCUUAACCGGGGAACUGCGUCUGAUACUGGAUGGCUUGAGUUCGGGAGAGGGAUGCGGAAUUCCAGGUGUAGCGGUGAAAUGCGUAGAUAUCUGGAGGAACACCGGUGGCGAAGGCGGGUCUCUGGGCAGUAACUGACGCUGAGGAGCGAAAGCGUGGGGAGCGAACAGG
rnacentral:rRNA from 1 species